rnacentral:rRNA from 1 species
GAUGAACGCCGGCGGCGUGCCUAAUACAUGCAAGUCGAACGAAACUUCUUUAUCACCGAGUGCUUGCACUCACCGAUAAAGAGUUGAGUGGCGAACGGGUGAGUAACACGUGGGCAACCUGCCCAAAAGAGGGGGAUAACACUUGGAAACAGGUGCUAAUACCGCAUAACCAUAGUUACCGCAUGGUAACUAUGUAAAAGGUGGCUAUACUACCGCUUUUGGAUGGGCCCGCGGCGCAUUAGCUAGUUGGUAGGGUAAAGGCUUACCAAGGCAAUGAUGCGUAGCCGAAUUGAGAGGUUGAUCGGCCACAUUGGGACUGAGACACGGCCCAAACUCCUACGGGAGGCAGCAGUAGGGAAUCUUCCACAAUGGGCGAAAGCCUGAUGGAGCAACGCCGCGUGGGUGAAGAAGGUCUUCGGAUCGUAAAACCCUGUUGUUAGAGAAGAAAGUGCGUGAGAGUAACUGUUCACGUUUCGACGGUAUCUAACCAGAAAGCCACUGCUAACUACGUG